GAAUAAGAAGCAAAAUAUUGCAUUUAGUUUCGACCUAAAAGUUUGGCUAAGCCCUUAUUUU
rnacentral:tRNA from 1 species